UUUUCUUCCCUCUCCCGUUUCUCUUUCCCCACGAUCUCCAAACCUCGCCUUUCUCGAGUAAACGAAAACCCUAACUCAGUCACAACUAUAACCACCUUUACUUCCAGAACGAACACAGAAGAAUCCCCGAUCUUUUUCUUCUCAUAUAUGGAUGUUUUUGGUAACAAAAUCGACUUCAUCUGAAAUCGCUCAUCUCUUGUGUAAAAAAAUCACUCUUCUCUUUGUCUAAGCUAUCGACUUCAUCUGAAAUCGGUCAAGGGUUUGUUCAAGUCACUGUGUUUUCAUUACUCUUUCUCUAACAGAUGAAGAUUGAUGAACAAGAUGAAGGAUGCUGGAACUUCUAAAAGAACAUGCAGUCAUGGAGAAGAUUAAAGAAGCACACAGGAGAGUGAUGGUGGCUAACCAUCCUCACAAGGGUGGGAGCAUGUAUCUUGCUAAAAAGAUCAACGGGGCUAAGUGUCGAUUUCAAUUCUUUCCAUGUGAAGCUAGGGUUUGCUGUUAGGAUUGACAGAUGCUGAUGAUCCUAUUCCCAGAUCUAGUAAUGGCUUGUCUGAAGAAAUUUCUUUUAAGAUUCUGAAACAGGUUGUCGAGGUGGAGCAAGCAGCCAUGUGGAAGUUUCUUUGGUGGUCGGGAAUCAUAACUGUCCAUGUUAUGGUUGGCCAAAACAUAGAUGAUCACUCGAUAUAUACGCAUGAGCAAUAGAAGUUUAUGAACUGUAAUUUUCGUGUUUCAGAAACUUUUCUCCAGCACUUCCUCCUCAAGCCUUUGUCUUUUAUUUCCUUCUUGGUUUGCGGGAUGAGUUCAGCUUGUUGAUGUACUUUAUGCUGAGUGUUUGCAUUUGUCUCUUUGUGAAGGAAGGACUCAUGCUGGUUGUUGCAACAAUCUGACAAGAUAUAUGCUGGAGCAUUUUGACAGUGAUUCAGUGAUUCGAAUUACAGUUUGAUUCUUCACAAGACUAAACUUUGUGCUCCUGCACUUGCUCCAUUCAAGGCUUGUUACGAAGGAAACUUUUGGGGUGCCAAAAUAAUCCCAAGCACAACAUGAAAUGCUUAACAUGCUGAAUCCAAGGCUCUUCUUGUAGCCACACUAUGGAUUAACGAGCUGGAACUGCAGUUUACUUCAAAGGGGACUGAAUCAUUCUGAAGAUGUAUGCUAUGCUAUCCAGUGUUCAAAUCACCAUAGUUAACUAUUGCUGUUAUAGUGGUCUAUGUCAAGUUUUCUAGAUUUUUGGUGUAGUUAGUGUCAGUAUUAUUCGAAAAAAAUAUUGUCUUUAGGUUUCUGUUAGUAUUAUUUUGUAACAUUUGAUAAGGUCUUAUUUGGAAUAAAAUUUCUGUUAAU